GGGUGAUCUAAGUUGUGGAGUACUUAUCAGGAGUACUGACUGGACUGGGCUGUCCAUUCACACAGGAAUCUGAUGGAUCUCAAAGUCCAGUUUGGGAGCUAUGAUGUUAUCCCCAUUGUCAACUUCACCGGAUUUAGAGGAUGUCCGCAAUAGUGUUUAGCAAAUAAUUUAAGAACUCGUGAGCAUCCUGCUGCAUGUAGUUAUCAAAGAGAUCUGGAAAGGAGAAAGUCAUCAUUUCACACUCUGCGUCUUCAAGAGCAAACAGACGUAUUUAGCUUUGCGCGACAAGCUUCAGUAACGAUAUCCAAAGACUGGGCAGGCGCGGCAUACAAAUGUACUUUGUCUCAACUGUGCAAUUACAAGGGAGUAACUUCCCAGAGUUUCCUACCACCCACCAAAAACUAGUAUCCCUUAGCUCCCUCUAGUCAUGUACAACAAUGAUCCAAAGUUUAACUCAUUCUAGAAAAAGAACCAAAAUUAUGAGACAAAAACCUUGAUUAAAUAUCUAUUGGUUUUGCCUGCAUGCAUGCAGUGUGUGGGUGGGUGGGAGGAGCACACAUGGGGGCAAGUGCACACUUGUGUACGUGUGAGGAUUAAGAGGGCAGAGGCUGACACUGGCAUCUUCCUCAAUCACUCUCCACCUUGUCUG
rnacentral:lncRNA from 1 species